rnacentral:rRNA from 1 species
UAAAUGGAGAGUUUGAUCCUGGCUCAGGACGAACGCUGGCGGCGUGCCUAAUACAUGCAAGUCGAGCGCGGGAAGCGAGCUGAAGCCCUUCGGGGUGGACGCUCGUGGAACGAGCGGCGGACGGGUGAGUAACACGUGGGCAACCUACCUGUGAGACGGGGAUAACUCCGGGAAACCGGGGCUAAUACCGGAUAACGCAUCGAACCGCAUGGUUCGAUGAUCAAAGAUGGCUUCUUGCUAUCACUCACAGAUGGGCCCGCGGCGCAUUAGUUAGUUGGUGAGGUAACGGCUCACCAAGGCGACGAUGCGUAGCCGACCUGAGAGGGUGAUCGGCCACACUGGGACUGAGACACGGCCCAGACUCCUACGGGAGGCAGCAGUAGGGAAUCAUCCGCAAUGGACGCAAGUCUGACGGUGCAACGCCGCGUGAGCGAUGAAGGUCUUCGGAUCGUAAAGCUCUGUUGUGAGGGAAGAACAAGUGCCGUUCGAAUAGGGCGGCACCUUGACGGUACCUCACCAGAAAGCCC